rnacentral:lncRNA from 1 species
UCUUUGUUCAAAAAGAAACCCUAAUUUUCGACGAAUCCGGUAUCAAGCAAAAACCAUGAAUCUCAAAGAUGCCAUGCUGCCGUCGAUCGGAGGCUUCAUCUCCUUUGAAUUUGUCCCCGUGGCAUUGGAGAGUUCAGUACCCGAAAUUUCAUAGAGAUUGAAUUAGAAUAACAAAAUUGAUUUGUGGGGUCUAAUUUUGCUUGACGAAUUGAAAGUUUU